GAUCAUGGCUCAGAACGAACGCUGGCGGCAUGCCUAACACAUGCAAGUCGAACGAGACCUUCGGGUCUAGUGGCGCACGGGUGCGUAACGCGUGGGAACCUGCCUUUAGGUUCGGAAUAACAGUGAGAAAUUACUGCUAAUACCGGAUGAUGUCUUCGGACCAAAGAUUUAUCGCCUUUAGAUGGGCCCGCGUUGGAUUAGCUAGUUGGUGGGGUAAAGGCCUACCAAGGCGACGAUCCAUAGCUGGUCUGAGAGGAUGAUCAGCCACACUGGGACUGAGACACGGCCCAGACUCCUACGGGAGGCAGCAGUGGGGAAUAUUGGACAAUGGGCGAAAGCCUGAUCCAGCAAUGCCGCGUGAGUGAUGAAGGCCUUAGGGGUUGUAAAGCUCUUUUACCCGAGAUGAUAAUGACAGUAUCGGGAGAAUAAGCUCCGGCUAACUCCGUG
rnacentral:rRNA from 1 species